GCAAUACAAAGUUCUCCUUUAUGACCCAGCAGAUCUUGAGUUACAAAAUUUGGAUAAUGAAGCUUCUUCAAAAUGUUUUCCACUCUUUCCUUCUGCACCUUUAUUUCUGAAAGAAAAAAAGAAAAGAGAGUUAUACUUAUUUACAAGAGCCUUUAAACCAAGAACUGCAGAGGAUCAGCCUAAUCCUCUAUAGUUUAUGGCAAGAGAAUUCAUGGCACCAGAGGAGUUAUUUGGGGUGCCUCCAUUGCCUCUUUUGGAUUUUUAGGAGAAACUGGUUGUCGUUCUACUUCUAUUCCCCUGGCCCUACC
rnacentral:lncRNA from 1 species